CACUUGAAUUCACAUUGCAAAAUACUCCUUCAUGUCCAAAGAAAAAAAAACGUACCAGCAGUAAGCUCCAUUGUUACCUCAAUUUCGUUCUUAUAACUCCACAAUCAACUAUAUUUCCUAUUUCCAUUAAUGGGGGGCAGAACGUGAAUCUACAUUUUCAAAGGGAGAAAAAGAUGAAGUUUACCAUUGAAGCAAAAAAAAAAAAAGAAUGUGAUUAGUUUUGUAAUCAACAACUUGGAAAGUUCUAAAGUUAAGUGACAACGUGAUUCAUUUUUCAAGAGCAGCAACGUAUUUCUAUUUAAGGUACAGACACUCGGUUUGGUGAUCCUCCAGCUUAGGACUUCUACUCAGCUGUUUUGGAGAGCUCCAUUGUUCCGGAACCUAGAUUAUUUUGGUACAGAUCUUUGAUGUAGACUUAUACAUAUCCGAGGGUACGGCGGGGCCCUGUCCCGUCAUAUUUUACUAUGAUACUCUUAGAGGUCUGUAGACAUAUGUGGGUUGUAUAUGGGUUAUGGCCAGCUAUGUCGAUAUGAUUUGUUUUGGAUAUUCCCGUAUAUAGUGGCAGCCUUGUCGGCUUGCAUAUUAUGUUAGCUGUGACUCCUCAGGAGACAGGUUAUUAUGAUAUAUGGCAUUAUGAAUC